GGCCCUGUAGCUUAGUCUGGCCGAGCGCCGGUCUUAUAAGCCGGAGGUCGGGGGUUCAACUCCCCCCAGGGCCA
rnacentral:tRNA from 1 species